UUAUAAAAUAGAUUAGGCAGCAAAGCUCAAUAUGUAUGCAAGCUGGGUUUCUUGCUCUGCAUUGGAUGUGACUUGAUUAAAUAUGCAAUUUUAGGUCUCUCUUUAAUUUACAGGGACUACCUUCACCAGUGAUUUGAUCUCAGAAACUCUAACGGACCUACAGUCUUCAGGACUUGCACAGCCUGUAAAGUGUCUUCAAGUAUAGAAAAUCCCCAAUUGCUCUGAAUCUGCAAUCACCCUGACCACUGGGCUUCAGCCAUCUAAACCAGAGCAGAACCGGGGCAAAAUGAAAGGAUAUCCAUUAAAAUAUCCACCAAUGUGAGAUACCCCUAAAACGUUUCCCAACAGCAUCCGAACCAAGAGGGGCUUGAACUCCAGUUUUCAUAGCUUUGCCAAAAGACCAGCACCAAAUCAUGCCUACGGCAGCUAGGUGGGCAAAAGAGAGGAAGGACAAACCCUGAACACCACAUCACCUUGAGUCCAUGGAAUACUCAUCGGUCCCACUAAAAAAGAGGGACUGCUUUUCAGAUGCUUUCCAAAAAUGAUCUGAGAUCAAGGAGUAGUGCAGGAGAGAGAGGACCUAGAAAGGCAAAGCAUGGGAAGCCACCGCAGGAAGCAACCAGGGUUGCAGGACAUCAGCCUGCUCUAUGCUUUGCUCAAGGGUUACAGAAGUCCACAGUCAAGCCCAAACUGAUUAAAUAAAUGCAGUGCUCAUGUUGACUCAUUUUCUUCACAAGAAAUCCAAACAAAUAAGAUAAAACAAAGAAGCAACAACAAAACAGGCAAGUGCAAUUUUUGCCUGCGUGGAAAAAAGAGCCCGGUUUCUCAUAGUGGCUUGGAAGACUUUAUACUCCCAUUUUUUAGAUGCUUAGCAGGGUAUAGUGAUGAUCACCUAGGUUGUCCUUUAUGGAAAAGCUUUUUGUUACUGUUUGCCACCCUGCUGCAUUGUCCCAUUAGUGACAGAUGAAAACAGGAGUCUACCAGGCUUUAAAACACCAAGAGCCUUUCAAGAACUAGAGCCUGACCUUUGUUAACCCCAUCAUAUCUGCUCCAGAGAGACGCAGUGGCAUGACAUUGCCUCAAGACCCAUGAUAUGGAGAUGACCC